UUUUCCUCAGCCUCUAGGGCUCUGCUCUCCACCAUCACUUCCACCUGCAAUCCUAAUACGUUACCUUUCCCACCACCGUCUCCCCCCUGCCUUCCAUUUCUCUGGCCACUUCCUCCAUCCUUCGCCACUCUCGCCACUGUCCACCCCAAAUUUCAGACACAUUUAGGGCUUGUGAGACACCCAGGAAGGAUAAUGCUUGUGAGACACCCAGAGGGAUCGAGAAUUGCCGAACCAAAUUGCACCCAGCAAAGCAAACAAGCCUAGAUCUCUCCAAGUCAUCAUUUCAGGCCUCGAUACUGUUCACCAUAACCAUUCCAGCCUCCGCUCAAACGGUUUUUAUCUGGGCCUCCGUAGGCAUUUCUGGGCACCUCAGUUCAUCUUGAAGCUGCAGAAACUUCCUGGUUUCUUCCCAGAUUCCCAACAAAAAGGCGAAAGAGCUGCUUGUGUGCUGGAAAAUCCUUACCAGCCGAAGCUUUAAGUCACUAGAAUAAAUUUAGGACAUCUCCAAACAAUUUUGUGCACAUAAGUGAUGAUCUCAGCAACAUCUCCAAAUUACUUUUGCAAAAAGAUUCCGUCCAGAUAAGUCAGCAUAAGUUCUUCAUUUAACAUAUGUAUGGAUUUUUUAGGUGCCUAUUUGCCUCUCACUUUUAGUUCUAUAAUGCAGUGGCUGCUGAAUCUAUUCUUAAGAACAUGACAUUGUGAUGUUUUUCUGGUGCAUAUUUGCCUCAGAUAUGGCAUCUGAAACAACAUCUCAGUCAAAAGGGAAAGGCAAAGGGUAUUUCACUUGGACUCCUGAUAUGGAUCGUGUAAUGGGCACCUGUUUUAUUGACCAAAUGAACCAAGGAAACAAAUUGGAUGGUAAAUGUGCAUGGAAGACAGCAGCCUACACCGCCGUAAUGAAUGCUUUAUUCGAUAAGCUAUAUAUAUGAUAAGUAUCUGGAGUGGUCACCUCAGAAUUGAUAUGCGUCACCUGGGAAUUGAUAUGCGUAGAACAGCUAUGCCGAAUAGGAAAGAUUUUUGGGUGAAACAGAGCGAGCAAGAUCCAUCUCUGAGCUUGCAAUUCAGCAACCUGCAUUAGACAUUCCACAGUUACUAUGGAAGGAAUCCAUCGACUUUGAGAUACCGGUGAAGGACUUGUCCUUGAGCUGCAUGAACCUAUGUGGUGAUCAAUGUUGCUGUUUUUUUUUUUUUGUUUUUUUCAUGCUAUCCAGAUGCUUGUUGAGCUCAUUUCACAUCAUACUAGAGAUUGGUUAAGAAGUGUUAUUUGUCGAGUCUGAUUGGACAUGCAAGUCAGAAAAUGAUACUUGUGUUGGCAUUUAAAUUUUGCUUCCAAAUUUUUAUGCUGGCCUUCGGCAUUUUCAUUCGGUUGUAUUGUUAGGGGAGUGAAAUGGAGACUUGGAACUUGUAGGUGUUAUGACUAACGAACUUGCAAGUUAAUAAAUUAUAGAUGAAUGGGUUAUGGUACA